AGCGAACGCUGGCGGCAGGCCUAAUACAUGCAAGUCGAGCGGCCGUAGCAAUACGGCAGCGGCAGACGGGAGAGUAACACGUGGGAACGUGCCCUUCAGUUCGGAACAACCCAGGGAAACUUGGGCUAAUACCGGAUACGCCCUUACGGGGAAAGAUUUAUCGCUGAUGGAGCGGCCCGCGCCUGAUUAGCUAGUUGGUGAGGUAACGGCUCACCAAGGCGACGAUCAGUAGCUGGUCUGAGAGGAUGAUCAGCCUCACUGGGACUGAGACACGGCCCAGACUCCUACGGGAGGCAGCAGUAGGGAAUAUUGGACAAUGGGCGCAAGCCUGAUCCAGCCAUGCCGCGUGAGUGAUGAAGGCCUUAGGGUUGUAAAGCUCUUUCGGCGGGGAAGAUAAUGACGGUACCCGCAGAAGAAGCCCCGGCUAACUUCGUGCCAGCCGCCGCGGUAACAC
rnacentral:rRNA from 1 species